AACCUGCUACCAAGCGAUGCGUAAAAUACCACAGGGAUCGAGGUGACAGGAAGGAACGUCAAGGUAGUAGAGUAAAUAAAUAUCGAAGUUGUCAUAGAGAGAUAACAGGAAGGAGAAGAAAAAAGUAAAGGUUAAAGCGAAAGAUUGUUUAAUAAAGUUAAGAUAAAUUCAGUUGAAAAGCGAAGUGUUUGUUGGAAAAAUUCUAAUAAAGUAAGGAAGCGGAGUCAGUGCAGGUUGUUUCUGACAGGCACCUAUCGAUUGAUAGUUAAAAAUCAACAAACAACUCUAGUGGACGGAAGGACUGUCUGAGACGAUUCGAGAAUUAAAGUCGAGAGACAUUAAGUCUGUGGAAUAUUCGGACAGAGCACAAUUAAAAUCCGUACGAACUACAACUACAUCGAAAGUUAGGUUAGCACGAGUACAGUCAGUAGGACGAAAACGUGUAACGCUAAUCGUGAGUAAACGCAAAUGAAAUUACUAGAUACAACAUAUUAAAAUAACAUAAAAUAUUGGCUAGGGUGGUUAAUUUAACAUCAAAUUAAACAAUCAUAAAUCAGGAGUAUUUGGAAGAGUUAAAAAUACACGAAACACUAAUUGUAAGUAGUAAAACCAUUUAACUAUAAUGUCUCGAUAAAUUGUAACCAAAAUUUUAAAUACAAUUUAGCUUUGAUCGGCUAGUUAAACGUCGAUUGUC